rnacentral:lncRNA from 1 species
CCACGGUGCAGGCUGACGCACAGCCGGCACUCAGAGCCCAGACGCGCAAGGAUGUUCCCGUGCCCCCACAAGAUACACAGACGAGUUCCUGCAGGGUGACUGCCAGAUUUCAGCCAGCGGCAAACCCAGCGGCGGCAGGAACUCGGAGCGCUCCCUAACCUCGCGGGGCAGCGGGGACCCAGCGCCCUGGCCUCCUCGGGCGCCCCGGCAGGGCGCGCGCCAGGUCCCAGGCCGGCGCGGGGCCCCAGGACCCUUAUCUUCUUCGUCUUGGGUAUCCUGCUGCCGGUCUGACCUCCAGCGUCCCCAGUAUUCCAUUCUUCUCCUCUCCUGCACAGCCACGAGCCCAGGGCUCUGUAUAAACAGCUAAUAAUCCCACAGCUGGGACCUGGGGGCCUCUCUUCCUGCGGAAGGUGGUGCGAAGUUCUUGCUUUGAUUUCUCUUUUGAGACAGAAAAGCAGCUAGUGGUGAGCUUGGAGAUGAAACUCAAUAUGGACAAAAGUGCAGCUUCAAGAGUUCUUUCCCAUGGUGAUUAAGGCUGCUUAGAUGUAAAAAAAAAAAA